rnacentral:rRNA from 1 species
CAGGACGAACGCUGGCGGCGUGCCUAAUACAUGCAAGUCGAACGGUCUUUCUAUGGAAGCUUGCUUCCACUGAGAAGAUAGUGGCGAACGGGUGAGUAACACGUGGGUAACCUGCCCAUAAGAGGGGGAUAACAUCCGGAAACGGGUGCUAAUACCGCAUAGUUUUCUUGAUCGCGUGAUUGAGAAAGGAAAGACGGCCUUUGUGCUGUCGCUUAUGGAUGGACCCGCGGCGUAUUAGUUAGUUGGUGAGGUAACGGCUCACCAAGACGAUGAUACGUAGCCGACCUGAGAGGGUGAUCGGCCACAUUGGGACUGAGACACGGCCCAAACUCCUACGGGAGGCAGCAGUAGGGAAUCUUCCGCAAUGGACGAAAGUCUGACGGAGCAACGCCGCGUGAGUGAAGAAGGUUUUUCCGGAUCGUAAAACUCUGUUGUCAGAGAAGAACAAGUUGGAGAGUAACUGCUCCAGCCUUGACGGUAUCUGACCAGAAAGCCACGGCUAACUACGUGCCAGCAGCUGC